rnacentral:rRNA from 1 species
AUGUUGGAGAAGUCCUCUUAUAAAUGGGCAAAGCCGUACUUCCGAGGGGUGUUCUGUGCUAGGAUGACAAGCACUCAAUGGAGUAAGAGCGCUAACCAUGUGUUGAAGGGUUACGUGCCGCCAGUGUGCCGAAUGCAUCUAUUUUUGAAGCAAUUUCAGAAAUUGCAAUUUGACAGAGAGGCGGAAGAGAGUUUUCAGGAGAAGAGGACAUCCCUGGUGAGUGUGUUGUAG